CGGGGGGAGCAAGCGUUGUUCGGAUUUACUGGGCGUAAAGGGCGCGUAGGCGGCCACCGCAAGUCAAUUGUGAAAUCUCCGGGCUUAACUCGGAAAGGUCAACUGAUACUGCGGGGCUAGAGUGCGGAAGGGGCAACUGGAAUUCUCGGUGUAGCGGUGAAAUGCGUAGAUAUCGAGAGGAACACCUGCGGCGAAGGCGGGUUGCUGGGCCGACACUGACGCUGAUGCGCGAAAGCCAGGGGAGCGAACGGGAUUAGAUACCCCGGUAGUCCUGGCCUUAAACGAUGAAUGCUUGGUGUCUGGGGUUAUAAAGUCCCCGGGUGCCGUCGCUAACGCUUUAAGCAUUCCGCCUGGGGAGUACGGUCGCAAGACUG
rnacentral:rRNA from 1 species